rnacentral:tRNA from 1 species
UGGGGCGUAGCCAAGCGGUAAGGCACCGGUCUUUGGUACCGGCAUGCGUAGGUUCGAAUCCUACCGCCCCAGCCA